CAGAGGACCUCAUCUGUGAGGGAGUUGAUAGCGACCGCAUGGAUUUUGCACUUUCUCUCGCCAGUUCCUCUGAAGCCCUUUGCAAUUUGACCCUCACUGAACAUGCCUGCUCCAUGGCCACGCAUCUGCCAGCCAGCAACGUGGUCACAUUGAUGAAAUGCUCACUGGAAAGCCACAUGCCAUUACCUGUAGCGGUCUGGAAGCUUUUCUUUGAAAAAGCCUCCGCUGCAC